GGGGGAUUAGCUCAGCUGGCUAGAGCGCCUGCCUUGCACGCAGGAGGUCAUCGGUUCGACUCCGAUAUUCUCCACUA
rnacentral:tRNA from 51 species